AUCUUCUUCAUUUUGAAGGUAAAGGGACUGGCCCCUGGGAUUUUCUGCUCAGGACCCGAGUUCACUGAGACAUCAGGAGCAAGCACUGGAGGCCGGUGCUGCUGGACCCAGAUGGGCGCCAUGCAGGACUUGACCAUGGCCUGCACACACUUCUUCCCAGGAGAAGGGGAAUGAGGAAAGUGGGGGGCCUCAAAGCUUCCUUUCCUUUCUGUUUGUCUUGCUAUGUUUUUAUAUUCCUUUUUAUCCAUUUAAUUAUUUAGUACAAAAUCAGGUCCAGUCUCCUUAGAUAUGGCAUUGAUAUAAAGUGUAAAAUGGAAGCUAAAUUCUAGGAGUACAGCAUUGCAUGCUUCUGACAGAGACAAGGAAGGCUAGAAUCACACAGUUAGUGGACACUGCAACUAUAUUGACAUUUUUUUUUUUUUAGACUGUGAAGGUGGGGACAGAUUGCUGCACUCAGAACACCUUCCCUGCUCUGGGGAAACAAACACUGUCAUCAUGGGGAAAAUGUUUCCUGUAGACCCACACAAGCACACACCCCUCCUCCUACAUCCAGCUUCUCCUCAGCCAUUUUGAAGCAGGGAAGAUCAGGGGGAUUCAUGAAUGGCGAAAUUUGGCCUUUUUUAGUGUAUUUCUCUCCUUCUGUAGGCAGACUGGCAUCACCUGACCCUUCAGAGUAUUAACUCAGACCCUGGUGACUGAGGUCCAGUACCAAGUGCUCAGCUGGGCUGCGGUGCAGGGACAGGAAGCAGAAGGGCAGAUUCAACCCCCCUCAGCUGGCCAUGCUAAUCUACUAGCUGGUGUCCUAGGGCAGCAAGGCGCCUCCCUCUCCAGGAUCUGAUGAGAAAACACUGCAGUUCCAGUUUCUUUCGGGGCUUGAAGAGAAGUCAAGGAAGCCCUGCAAGGCACUCACAGCUGAUCAUGCUUUCUGUAAUCGCCCUCCAUCUUCCUUCAUUGCUAGGAAUCAUUGGAAGGACAACAGCGGAGCUGUGAGUUUUGAAACCGCGUCCUCAUGGGGGCAGUAGAGGUCCACACAAGAGCUUAACUGGCCCCUGGGAUUUGCUGCUCAGAACCUGAGUUCACUGAGACAUCAGGAGCAAGUACUGGAGGCCGGUGCUGCUGGACCCAGAUGGGAGCCAUGCGGGACUUGACCAUGGCCUGCACACACUUCUUCCCAGGAGAAGGGGAGUGAGGAAGAACCGGCCCCUGGGAUUUGCUGCUCAGGACCCGAGUUCACUGAGACAUCAGGAGCAAGCACUGGAGGCCGGGUGCUGCUGGACCCAGAUGGGAGCCAUGCAGGACUUGACCAUGGCCUGCACACACUUCUUCCCAGGAGAAGGGGAAUGAGGAAGGUGGGGGCCUCAAGGCUUCCUUUCCUCUCUUUUUGGCUUGUUAUGCUUUUAUAUUUCUUUUUA
rnacentral:lncRNA from 1 species